UACGGGGGGGGCAAGCGUUGUUCGGAAUUACUGGGCGUAAAGGGCUCGUAGGCGGCCAACUAAGUCGGAUGUGAAAUCCCCAGGCUUAACCUGGGAACUGCAUCCGAUACUGGAUGGCUUGAAUCCGGGAGAGGGAUGCAGAAUUCCAGGUGUAGCGGUGAAAUGCGUAGAUAUCUGGAGGAAUACCGGUGGCGAAGGCGUUCUGCUGGGCCGUUGCUGACGCUGAGGCGCGACAGCGUGGGGAGCAAACAGG
rnacentral:rRNA from 1 species